AUUGAACGCUGGCGGCAGGCCUAACACAUGCAAGUCGAGCGGAGCGGCGGACGGGUGAGUAAUGCCUAGGAAUCUGCCUGGUAGUGGGGGAUAACGUCCGGAAACGGGCGCUAAUAUCGCAUACUAUCAGAUGAGACUAGGUCUGAUUAGCUAGUUGGGGGGGUAAAGGCCUACCAAGGCGACGAUCCGUAACUGGUCUGAGAGGAUGAUCAGUCACCCGGUAACUUGGACACGGUCCAGACUCCUACGUGAGGAAGCCGUGGGGAAUAUUGGACAAUGGGCGAAAGCCGGCUCCAGCCAUGCCGCGUGUGUGAAGAAGGUCUUCGGAUUGUAAAUCACUUUAAGUUGGGAGGCGUUACCAACAGAAUAAGCACCGGCUAACUUCGUGCCAGCAGCCGCGGUAAUAC
rnacentral:rRNA from 1 species